rnacentral:misc_RNA from 1 species
UUGAGACCCAUCAGACGAGAGGGAGGGGGAUCUAAUACUCGGAACUCUGCAAUCUGUGGCAAGUUCUAACAAUAUAUGCCUCAGUAAAAUAUUCUACAUCCCCAUUUUUUAUGGUGAAAAGAAUUAGUGGUUGAGCGAUGGGCGUACAGCCAAAAGCAGGCUUGGAAAAAGUAGGAUCAGCAACUUGCUACCGAGCAAAAAUCUCCUUGAUGCAAGUUAAUCUCUUCCAAGAAGCCAUUACCAUUACAACAGACAAAAGAAGCGAGUGUAGGAAUUAGAGCAGCUACUGUCAAGUGUCAACCUCCAGUUAUGUAAUAUUCCCAUAUGGUCUGAAGAAUUACCUCCCUA